AAUGAACGUUGGCGGCGUGGAUUAGGCAUGCAAGUCGCGCGAUUGCCUUCGGGCAAGAGCGGCGGAAGGGAGAGUAACGCGUAGAUACCUACCCUCGGGACCGGAAUAGCGACGGGAAACUGUCGGUAAUGCCGGAUAACGUCCCUGGACCAAAGGUGUGAAUCCGCCUGAGGAGGGGUCUGCGUCCUAUUAGCUAGUCGGCGGGGUAACGGCCCACCGAGGCGAAGAUGGGUACCGGGCGUGAGAGCGUGACCCGGCUCACUGGGACUGAGACACUGCCCAGACACCUACGGGUGGCUGCAGUCGAGAAUCUUCGGCAAUGAGCGCAAGCUUGACCGAGCGACGCCGCGUGCGGGAUGAAGGCUUUCGGGUUGUAAACCGCUGUCAGUGGGGAGGAAAUUCUUGGGGGUACUCCCCCUUGAUUGACCGAUCCGCAGAGGAAGGACGGGCUAAGUUCGUG
rnacentral:rRNA from 1 species